GACAAGUAUAUCAAAUUCCAGAGCAUGCGCUUUUUACAUAACUCUAAAUAGCUGACUUCCUGUUGGGCGGAGCCUAUGACAUGCAAUAUGAAAGUUGUUCGGCACGAUGAGAUCUAUAUGUGUACUGAGUUUCAUAUUAAUACGUGCAAGUAUGUGUGAGCUAUACAUCAAUAUUUAUGACUGUGUUCCAGGGGGCGCCGUAGAGCCCCUGUGCCACGCCCGGGUCCCAACCUCUGCAGGCUCCUAAAGGCCACAGAUCCAAAGGUGUGUGCAAAUUUUCAAGAGUUUUUGAGUAUGUUAAGGACUCCAAAAGCCCCCACAACUUUGACGACAAAUAUGAAUAAUAAAUCCUAAAUAGCCAACUUCCUGUUGGGCGGAGCCUAUGAUAUGCAAUACGAAAGUUGUUUGUAUUGAUGAGUUCUAUAUGUGUACCGAGUUUCGUAUGUCUACGUACAAGUAUGUAUGAUAUAUGGCCCUCCAUAUUCCAGGGGGCGCUGUAGAGCCCCUGUGCCACGCCCGUGUAUCAGUCUCUGCCCGGCCCUAAUGGCCGCAGGUUCCAAUGUGUGUGCCAAUUUUCAAGACUUUUUAAGCAUGUUAAGGGCCCCAAAAGCCCCCGUAACGUUAGAAAAAAAAAAUAAUAAUAAUAAUAAUAAUAAUAAUAAAAAAUAAUCCUAAGGAAAACAAUAGGGCUCUCGCCCUCCAGGCUUGAGCCCUAAUAAUAAUAAAUAUAGCUGCAAGCAGCGAUGGCGGGCUCAAGCCACCAAUGCCAUCGCCACCCCGGUGGCAUCAGGUAAACUGUGCCCAGCGGGCACAUGCAUUCACAAUAUCCCUCUGGCAGUGAGGUUUUAAAGGAUAUGGCAGUUAAAGGGUUAAUCCGAAUCAUCUAGACUUUAAAAUCACAUUCACAGAACAAUAUAUAUAUAUAACUUUAGUAACACUUUACAAUAAGAUUCCAUUUAUAAACAUUGUGUUAACAUGAACAAUAUUUAUAUAGCAUUCAUUCAUGUCAGUUAAUAUUCCAAACUUAAACAUUAAAACAUUGUUUUAUUGUGAUUUUUUUCCAAGCACAUUUUACCAAUUCCAAACCAUAUCAAUCUUAAUAACUACCAUUAUUUUUUAUUUAAUCAUUUAUGAGUGCUAUACAAUAGUCCAGGAAAGCUGGAAGAGAAAAACAGGUCAAGAAGAACUGACAAAAAGAAUUGCAAAAUAAUUAGGAAAUAAUGUGAAGAUUAAUUUUUAGUCAAUUCUGCAAGACAGACUUUCAGGAAAGGAGGUGGAAUAAAAAUGAGCUCCUAAAUCUUAAUCCCGGAUUCUGGAAGAUAUAUUCCUCAAACCAUCGGACAAGAGGAGGUGGUGCUGGUCCUUCACAAGUCACUCUAAUCUGUUCAUAAAGCCUAUAUAUAAAGUCUUAAUAUAUAGUAUUUCACAAUACUUCAUGGUAUUCUAAUUAAAUCAUUUUUUGGAAUCUUUGAUCUUUCAGAACCUGACACAUUGUAAUUCUGAGACUCCAGGAAAGUGGCAGUUCUGUAAAAUGUUGGCACUGGAGACUAAAUGCUCCCUGAUAGUUUCACACCUAAUUCACUUAACACACACACAAACACACACACACACACACAUUACCCACAGUGACAGAGGGACAGAGUGACAUCAGAUCUAUGAUAGUUUUUUAAUUUUCUAUUAUCCAUAUAGUGUUGUAUAGUCAUGAAACUAUGCAUAUUUCCUAAGAAUGACUUGUCUUCUAUGUGUACAUUUUUUUGAAGUGUUUAGAAGCUGCACUUAAAAAAAUAAAAGACAUUUACUGGUUACUUUUUUACUGUUAUUUCAAAAAAUCACCACGACAAAACCAUUCAAGCUAUCCAAAAUUCAUUCGCACCUGUACUGUAAGAUACAUUCUUUAAACAGUGGUAAAAGAGGAUGUGGUGCUGAUCCUUCAAGAGUCACUCAAAACUUAUCUGUCCAUAAAGAAUUAUUCUUAAUAUACAGUUCACAAUACUUCAGCUUGUUAUUCUAAUAAAGUGAGGGUCAUUUUAUCAGUAAAAUACAUAAAAUUCAUAUUAUUUUUCUUUGAAAGAUUUCUAUAAAUGAUUUAAAUCAUACUUGUUUCUACAAUAAUUAUUUAAAAGUGAUCAUAUAGCUCCAUCUGGUGGCCAUUAUUGGUACUAAGAAUUGCAAGCUUGAUUUAUAUGUUAUGAUAGUUUUAAUUUUAUGCUGGCUCUU